rnacentral:rRNA from 1 species
GACGAACGCUGGCGGCGUGCUUAACACAUGCAAGUCGAACGGAAAGGCCCCUUUGGGGGUACUCGAGUGGCGAACGGGUGAGUAACACGUGAGUAACCUGCCCUUGACUUCGGGAUAACUUCAGGAAACUGGGGCUAAUACCGGAUAGGAAUCCUUGCUGCAUGGUGGGGGUUGGAAAGCUUCGGCGGUUUUGUAUGGACUCGCGGCUUAUCAGCUUGUUGGUGGGGUAGUGGCUUACCAAGGCUUUGACGGGUAGCCGGCCUGAGAGGGCGACCGGCCACAGUGGGACUGAGAUACGGCCCAGACUCCGACGGGAGGCAGAAGGGGGGAAGAUUGCACAAGGGGCGGAAGCCUGAUGCAGCAACGCCGCGUGCGGGAUGACGGCCUUCGGGUUGUAAACCGCUUUCAGCAGGGGCGAAGCUUGUGGUGACGGUACCUGCAGAAGAAGCACCGGCUAACUACGUG